rnacentral:rRNA from 1 species
CCUACGGGAGGCAGCAGUGGGGAAUAUUGGGCAAUGGGGGCAACCCUGACCCAGCAACGCCGCGUGAAGGAAGAAGGCUUUCGGGUUGUAAACUUCUUUGACCAGGGACGAAGAAAUGACGGUACCUGGAAAACAAGCCACGGCUAACUACGUGCCAGCAGCCGCGGUAAU